UCACGGGUUAUUUUCGGAACACAACCCCUAAGAAAAACAAGGGUUCACUGUAAAUGUAGUGUUUACUUCAUUUUUUCUACAGCAAAAGUUUUGUUAUAAAAGCAUAAAAGGCUAAAUUUCUAAAUGUUGUAAAAACAUUUUUUUUUUUUUUUAUAAAAAUCUGUGGG